rnacentral:tRNA from 1 species
ACUGUUCUGGCAGAGUUAUGCAUUGGACUUAGGAUCCAAUUAUAUGGAGUGAAAAUCCCAUGGAUAGUA